UACGUAGGGGCAAGCGUUGUCCGGAUUAUUGGGCGUAAAGAGCGUGUAGGCGGUUAUACAGGUCCGCUGUGAAAACUGGAGGCUUAACCUCCAGACGUCGGUGGAAACCGUAUAACUAGAGUCCGGAAGAGGAGAGUGGAAUUCCUGGUGUAGCGGUGAAAUGCGCAGAUAUCAGGAAGAACACCCGUGGCGAAGGCGGCUCUCUGGGACGGUACUGACGCUGAGACGCGAAGCGUGGG
rnacentral:rRNA from 1 species